AAUUAAUUUAAAUUAACCGCUAUAAUAGUUAAAUAGUUAAUGAAUGUGCCUCAUGAGGGCAGUAAUCUAUAUCUUCUUACUUUCUUCUUAUAUUUCAUUUCUAUAAUCUAUCAAUCUAAUACUUCCAUUUUCGAAAGCAACUCGUGUGUGCGCGGAUCAUGUUAAAUUUAAAGUUUUAUUAAAUAAAUCCAUUUAUUAAAACAGAAUCGAUCAUCGAAUCCCCCAAUAAAUUAUGGGCCUAGUCUCAAAACUUUACAUUUUAAAUUAAAAAGUGAAUCAUAUUGGAAAAGAAACAAUUUAGAAAAAGUUCUGAUUUUAAUCAUCAUGUUAUGUUAUACAUUUCAUCGAAAAUAACACUUUUCUCGUGUAAGAAGCGCUUCAUCUGUCCACAAUACGUAUUUCUAAAAUGGAGAAUUUUGUUCCAUUUUCCCCUAAUAGCUGGAAAUUCAAGUUGAACGUAAUCCUGGUGAUACAAUUUUUGUACAUAAUUAUUCUCUUUAAGAAUAUGAUAUACCGUCAUCAUCUGUUAAUAAUGUGUUAAUUUAAAUAUUACUUAUAUAUUAUAUACUAUUAUACUAAUAAAUUAAAUACUACUCUUAAUAAUCAAUCAAGCUACAACUGUCGCAUUUCAUCACAUUAGAUUAAUUAAACUCGUAUAUUGAAAUAUUUGAUAUUCGUUCGCAAUAAUAAUUGUGAAUCCAUUAAAAAUAUUGAUAAACCUUCAAAAUUUUUAGAUUUUUUAAUGAUAAAUAAAACUUUUGCAGUGACAUAACCUUUUGCAUAUCAUAUAAUAUCUCCUUAUAUUAUAUUAACCAUAUAUGUAUGUUGAACGCGUUGUAACAUUUCGAUAUUUAUUAGUAUUUUUGUUUCUCUUGAUAGAUACGCAUCGUCCUUCAAAUAACUCUUAAAAAAAGAAUCCAAGGUGUUCAGUGUUCAUAAGAUUUCAUCUAAAUAUGCUCGAACAUUUCUAGUGUUAUGAUCUGACAUCUAAUUAUAUUGAAAGAUCAUAUUUUUCCAAAUCUCUAAUGGAAUUUCUUUCAG